UACGUAGGGGGGCUAGCGUUGUCCGGAUUCAUUGGGCGUAAAGCGCGUGUAGGCGGCUCGAUAAGUCUGCUGUGAAAGUCCAGGGCUCAACCCUGGGAUGCCGGUGGAUACUGUCGAGCUCGAGUCCGGAAGAGGCGAGUGGAAUUCCUGGUGUAGCGGUGAAAUGCGCAGAUAUCAGGAGGAACACCAAUUGCGAAGGCAGCUCGCUGGGACGUUACUGACGCUGAGACGCGAAAGCGUGGGGAGCAAACAGG
rnacentral:rRNA from 1 species